GAUUCUGGAUGCCCUAGCUGCAGCUCGCCUCUGGUCUCCCUCGUUUCCUUUUCCCCGGAACCCCUCAACUCGGGCGCUCGAUUCCUUUCCCCGGAACCCCUCAACUCGGGCGCUCGAUUCCUGGCUUCCCCUGGCGCCGAUCUCAUCUGUUGCUCAGACAUGACUGCUUGCAAGCAGACUGCAUCCACGGGCGCCGCCGCCACGUACGAGGCCGACAGCAAGUCGGCAGCAAAGAGCGAUGGAGCGGAGGAGCGGAAGCCCUCGACCAAGUGCAAGAAGGGGAAGAAGGCCAAGGGCAAGUUGGCGGUGAAGAGCAAUGGUGCGGAGAAGCCCAAGACCCAUGACCUUUCCGAUGUUACACGCGGGUUGGCGGUGAUGAGCAUUGCAACGGAGAAGCCGUUGGAUGAACAGCUCGCCCAGUUCGCCCUGUUCACCUACCAGAACGACUUCUGGAUGGACAACUUCAAAGGCGUCUAUGACAAGCCGUCCGUAGAUGCUAUUAAAAGGAAAGCUGCUGAAAACUGGAAAUCCUUUAGCGAUUCGGACAAAGCCCCUUAUGUGGCCAUUGCACGUGUUUACAAAAUACUCAUUGCCGAGGCAAAUGAGUUCAAGAAGACACUGAAGUUGACGCUCGCGAUGACGGACAAGAUGAUGAAUCUGAAAAUGUGAACAGCCAAGAUCUCUAAGAUGUGUUUGAAUUGGUGAUUUGCAUUUUUCUUUUUGCUAUCUGUGUAUCUUUUUGAUUGGUUACUCAAUUAGCAGAAAUGUCUUGGUAGAUGGCAGAAUUACUGCAACCAACUCCACAAAACCUGAUUCUGUCUGGGCGGCACUUGGAGGGUUGAGAUGCAGGUGCAGUUCAAGCUGCCAUAUGGACAAUACUAGGUUAAAAUACGUUUGUGCUCCUGGCUUUAGAUGUUGAAGUCUUUUGCAUAUUGUUAUGUUUGGUUAGUAAAUUUGAAUGGCCGUCAAGUUAUUUCACUACUAAGCCCUGUGAUGACAUUGUGAGAAUGCAAGGGGCUGACCCCUACCAAGAGGGGGCAUGUUGUAUUAUGUACUCCCUCCGUUCCGAAUUACUUGUCGCACGUAUGGAUGUAUCUAGAUCUAUUUUAGUUCUAGAUACAUCAAUUUCAAUGACAAGUAAUUUGGAACGGUGGGAGUAUUACCAACCUCGUGAGAUGUACAUUGCAAUAUUUAAUUAAGGAAAUAGUAAUUCAGAACUCGCUGAA